rnacentral:rRNA from 1 species
UGGGGAAUAUUGGACAAUGGGCGAAAGCCUGAUCCAGCCAUGCCGCGUGUGUGAAGAAGGUCUUCGGAUUGUAAAGCACUUUAAGUUGGGAGGAAGGGUUGUAGAUUAAUACUCUGCAAUUUUGACGUUACCGACAGAAUAAGCACCGGCUAACUCUGUGCCAGCAGCCGCGGUAAUACAGAGGGUGCAAGCGUUAAUCGGAAUUACUGGGCGUAAAGCGCGCGUAGGUGGUUUGUUAAGUUGGAUGUGAAAUCCCCGGGCUCAACCUGGGAACUGCAUCCAAAACUGGCAAGCUAGAGUAUGGUAGAGGGUGGUGGAAUUUCCUGUGUAGCGGUGAAAUGCGUAGAUAUAGGAAGGAACACCAGUGGAGAAGGCGACCACCUGGACUGAUACUGACACUGAGGUGCGAAAGCGUGGGGAGCAAACAGGAUUAGAUACCCCCGUAGUCCCUGAGCGGGCUGGCAAGGCGCAU